CCUCUGUCUCACGGGCUGGGGUGGCAUCCGAACAAUUUCCAAAGGGCGAGUGGAGUUGAUUUUUCACCCUGUACUUUAUUGGGAAGUUUUGGUUGACUUGGGGAGCUGGUGUGAACAGGAACCAGAGGCACUCCGGAGGUUGCCUGGAUUGGGGAGGGGUGGGUGAGUGCACUUGCGCGCGCGUGCGUUUGUGUGUGUGUGUGUGUGUGUGUGCGGUGUAGGGAGGCGGGGGGCGGGGGGUGAGGGCCUGGGCGGGGGCGGGGGCGCGGCUCCGUGUUAAGCAGCACCGUGGCGGUUCCACGCUGAGUGCAGCGUGCUCGGCUCUCUCGUUGCAGGGUGUCAGGCAGAGUGGAAGGAGAGGAGGAGAAGGGAAGUCGGGGACGUCGGUCAUGUCUAGGCGCUGGUGUUCUGGGGUGUCAGGCAGAGUGGAAGGAGAGGAGGAGAAGGGAAGUCGGGGACGUCGGUCAUGUCUAGGCGCUGGUGUUCUGGGGUGUCAGGCAGAGUGGAAGGAGAGGAGGAGAAGGGAAGUCGGGGACGUCGGUCAUGUCUAGGCGCUGGUGUUCUGGGUGAGUGAGUGCCCUUUGUUAAAUCUAUUCCUGUUUUGAUCAAGAUCUUGAGAUCUUCCAUGUUGCUUGACUCACCUCUACUCUUUAAGAAACAUUUCUUUUGUCUAUUCUGGCAGCCACUGGUAUCCACUUUUUUUUUUCUAUGUAUUUGAUUACCUUCUUUACCCUUUAUUUGUGGAUUGUAUUUUUCUGUUUUGAGUGUUUUAUUUCACUCUCAUCUUGUCCUGAAAGCUUUAGCUGUGUUUUUUCUAUGUCAUUGGAUUUACUUCCUUCGAAGGGAUGAAUAAUACUUCGUUUUCUGUAUUGGUCAUAUUUUAUUUAUCCAUCCGACUCUAGACUAACAUUUGUGUUUCCUCCUCACCAUUG
rnacentral:lncRNA from 1 species